rnacentral:tRNA from 1 species
GCGCCCGUAGCUUAACUGGAUAAAGUCCCUGACUACGAAUCAGGUGAGUGCAAGUUCGAAUCCUGCCGGGCGCGCCA